GAGUUUGAUCCUGGCUCAGAUUGAACGCUGGCGGCAUGCCUUACACAUGCAAGUUGAACGGCAGCACGGAGCUUGCUCUGGUGGCGAGUGGCGAACGGGUGAGUAAUAUAUCGGAACGUACCCUAGAGUGGGGGAUAACGUAGCGAAAGUUACGCUAAUACCGCAUACGAUCUAAGGAUGAAAGUGGGGGAUCGCAAGACCUCAUGCUCGUGGAGCGGCCGAUAUCUGAUUAGCUAGUUGGUAGGGUAAAAGCCUACCAAGGCAUCGAUCAGUAGCUGGUCUGAGAGGACGACCAGCCACACUGGAACUGAGACACGGUCCAGACUCCUACGGGAGGCAGCAGUGGGGAAUUUUGGACAAUGGGCGAAAGCCUGAUCCAGCAAUGCCGCGUGAGUGAAGAAGGCCUUCGGGUUGUAAAGCUCUUUUGUCAGGGAAGAAACGGUGAGAGCUAAUAUCUCUUGCUAAUGACGGUACCUGAAGAAUAAGCACCGGCUAACUACGUGCCAGCAGCCGCGGUAAUACGUAGGGUGCAAGCGUUAAUCGGAAUUACUGGGCGUAAAGCGUGCGCAGGCGGUUUUGUAAGUCUGAUGUGAAAUCCCCGGGCUCAACCUGGGAAUUGCAUUGGAGACUGCAAGGCUAGAAUCUGGCAGAGGGGGGUAGAAUUCCACGUGUAGCAGUGAAAUGCGUAGAUAUGUGGAGGAACACCGAUGGCGAAGGCAGCCCCCUGGGUCAAGAUUGACGCUCAUGCACGAAAGCGUGGGGAGCAAACAGGAUUAGAUACCCUGGUAGUCCACGCCCUAAACGAUGUCUACUAGUUGUCGGGUCUUAAUUGACUUGGUAACGCAGCUAACGCGUGAAGUAGACCGC
rnacentral:rRNA from 1 species